AGGAUUGGUCAAUUAGGAUGCUCACUAAGGGCAAGAUAGGGCGGGAUGACUGGCACGGGCAGACGAUAUAGUGGGAGCCCACAAGGGCGCUGAGCAGCAACCGCUAAUUACUCAAUUCCUAAUCUCCUCACACCAGAACAACAGAACUACGUUCAACAACUUGACCGAAAGGCCGCCUUUCUCAAACGUUCAAUCCAAGAUCUACGCCUCAGAUUACCUCCUCCUGAUGUUGCCCAACGCCUCCCUCACAUUUCCGCUCACUCCAUUGCCUCCAAUGCCGCUCUUGCACUCCAUCUCAACUCUCACUCUGCCACUCGUGAACAGGAUUAGGUACUCAAAGAGAUACUUGUGACCGGGCCCAAUUGAGGGAGGCAGCAUUAGAGGAAGAAAACGCUGCAUAUGAAAAGGCUAUAUCAAAUUCCAAAAGCAAAAUACAGGAGAAAUUUCAGGAACCAAAUUCACUUUGAAGAAAGUUAAAGGGAAUGGAUGAAAUUGAAAAAAAAUUGGCAGCUGAGCUGGAAAGCAGGCAAACUGCAUCACUUGCCAGCAAACCGGGAAGGCCAGUUGAAUCUGCAGCAGAAUCCAAAAAGAAUUGUAUGAUGCCCUUAGAGUUCGAUGGAAGAGGUAGUUCAAAAAUCGGAGAAAAAGUGGGCUCAGUUCAGCAUAACGCACUGAAGCAGCCUUCCCCAGGCACAAGCAGAAGCUGGUCAGUGAAAUUCAUUUGAAAGAGAUGGAACUAGAUAGAUUGAACGGUUUGUCGAGGAGAAUUGAAAGCAGCAAUGUAGAAGCAUGAAACCAGUUUGGAAGGACCAACUCUGAGAGUGGAUCUUCUUCUGUAGAUUUUACUGAUGAUGCUCAUAACAAACUUCCUUAUUACACCUGCAGCCAGAGUCAGAGCCAGCAGAAGCUCAUGCUACUCAGAAUCCCCAACAAAUGCCAUUGACUUCCCUCUAACAAUCUCAAGGAACUGAGUUGGAUUGAACAGAGGUAACUCACAUUCAUCAGGCUUCCACCUCCAGUUCAUGUACUCCUUGUCAGGUCUUCCAAGCUUCAUACAGUUAUGCUGGUCAAUUAUCAGAUGGCAACUUUCAUUUGAGUAGUAAGGCCCUUCAGGGUGAGGGACCCACCUUCCGCUGAAAAUGUCACAUUUCUUC